UGUUUAGGCGUAGGCGGGAGGAGGAGGGGCGUAGGCGGCGGGCUUGGCUGCAGGGUAGGAGGCCUCGCCCUCGUAGGCGACGUUAGCGACGUAUCCGGCGUGGUGGUCGGCGGUGAAGGUGACGAUCUGGGUGCGACCGUCGGGGAGGAGGACGCGGUAGGAUCCCGAGGUGACUUUGCCGUCGCUGGUCUCGUCGUGGGCGAAGUCGUUGCCGGUGUAGUCGUCCUUGACGGCGUAGGCGAAGUCGAAGGGCAUGCCAGGCUCCUUAUAGGCGGGGGGGCCGUAGGAAGGAGGGGAAUCG
rnacentral:lncRNA from 1 species